rnacentral:rRNA from 1 species
GCAUAUCAAUAAGCGGAGGAAAAGAAACCAACAGGGAUUGCCUUAGUAACGGCGAGUGAAGCGGCAAUAGCUCAAAUUUGAAAUCUGGCGCUUGCGUCCGAGUUGUAAUUUGCAGAGGAUGAUUUUGGUUAGGUACCUUCCGAGUUCCUUGGAACAGGACGCCUUAGAGGGUGAGAGCCCCGUACGGUUGGAUGCCGAGCCUUUGUAAAUCUCCUUCGACGAGUCGAGUAGUUUGGGAAUGCUGCUCUAAAUGGGAGGUAAAUUUCUUCUAAAGCUAAAUACCGGCCAGAGACCGAUAGCGCACAAGUAGAGUGAUCGAAAGAUGAAAAGCACUUUGAAAAGAGGGUUAAAUAGCACGUGAAAUUGUUGAAAGGGAAGGAUUUAUGACCAGACUUUUUCUAGGAGGAUCAUCCGGUGUUCUCACCGGUGCACUUCUUCUAGUCUAGGCCAGCAUCGACUUUCGGCGGUGGAUAAAAGCUUUGGGAAUGUGACUCCUUUCGGGGAGUGUUAUAGCCUAUUGUAUAAUACACUGCUGGGGGUCGAGGUACGCGCUUCUGCAAGGAUGCUGGCGUAAUGGUUAUCAAUCACCCGUCUUGAAACACGGACCAAGGAGUCGAACAUUUGUGCAAGUGUUUGGGUGUUAAACCCUCACGCGUAAUGAAAGUGAACGGAGGUGAGAGCCCUUACGGGUGCAUCAUCGACCGAUCCUGAUGUUUUCGGAUGGAUUUGAGUAAGAGCAUAACUGUUCGGACCCGAAAGAUGGUGAACUAUGCGUGGAUAGGGUGAAGCCAGAGGAAACUCUGGUGGAGGCUCGCAGCGGUUCUGACGUGCAAAUCGAUCGUCAAAUCUGCGCAUGGGGGGCGAAAGACUAAUCGAACCAUCUAGUAGCUGGGUUACCGCCGA